UCCUGAGGUUGGGAGCAUCUUCACACUGGCGGAGGAACUGAGGGAGCACCUUCACACUGACGGAGGAACUGAGGCUCCACUAGGCCCCUGAUUUCCUGGAAACCCAUGGCCAAGGAAGACAGCAGGUCCCAUGGAAGGCAGCCAAUCUCUUGAGGCCAGUGAGAAACCUCUAACGAUGUCUUCUACAAAUGAGGAGCACGAUGGAAGUUCACUAGGAAACAUGCCCCUGAUAGAUAUGAAGCUGUGGCCUCUCACCUCAAUCAAAUGGACUCUGCAGGUGGCCCAAAUGUGACCAGCCAGCACACAGUAGUCUUCAGAGCCAUAGGGAUGACUCACGUAACCAGAGAAGAUGAGCAUUCUACCAAAAAUGGGCCAAUGAGCUUUGUAUUCUUGAGAAUCUGGUUGGCACCAUCAAGAGAGAUUCCUUCUGCUGGGCUGCUGCGCCACAUCUCCCUGCUGCAAGUGAGAGUCAAACAGAAGGAUGGAGUCUGAAGUCAAGGGAGAGGAAAAAAGGGAGAGGAAG